AUUGAACGCUGGCGGCAGGCUUAACACAUGCAAGUCGAGCGGUAACAGGAGAAGCUUGCUUCUCGCUGACGAGCGGCGGACGGGUGAGUAAUACUUAGGAAUCUACCUAGUAGUGGGGGAUAGCUCGGGGAAACUCGAAUUAAUACCGCAUACGACCUACGGGAGAAAGGGGGCAACUUGUUGCUCUCGCUAUUAGAUGAGCCUAAGUCGGAUCAGCUAGAUGGUGGGGUAAAAGCCUACCAUGGCGACGAUCUGUAGCUGGUCUGAGAGGAUGAUCAGCCACACCGGGACUGAGACACGGCCCGGACUCCUACGGGAGGCAGCAGUGGGGAAUAUUGGACAAUGGGGGCAACCCUGAUCCAGCCAUGCCGCGUGUGUGAAGAAGGCCUUUUGGUUGUAAAGCACUUUAAGCAGUGAAGAAGACUCCAUGGUUAAUACCCAUGGACGAUGACAUUAGCUGCAGAAUAAGCACCGGCUAACUCUGUGCCAGCAGCCGCGGUAA
rnacentral:rRNA from 1 species